UACGGAGGGGGCUAGCGUUGUUCGGAAUUACUGGGCGUAAAGCGCACGUAGGCGGCUUUGCAAGUCAGAGGUGAAAGCCCAGAGCUCAACUCUGGAACGGCCUUUGAGACUAGAGGACUUGGGUACGGGAGAGGUGAGUGGAAUUCCGAGUGUAGAGGUGAAAUUCGUAGAUAUUCGGAAGAACACCAGUGGCGAAGGCGGCUCACUGGCCCGUUACCGACGCUCAGGCGCGACAGCGUGGGGAGCAAACAGG
rnacentral:rRNA from 1 species